CAAUGGCGUAUAUUAAAGUUGUUGCAGUUAAAAAGCUCGUAGUUGGAUUUCGGGGCAGCCUGGCUGGUCCGCCGCAAGGCGAGUACUGGUCAGCCGCCCUUCCUCUCGAAAGCCCCGACUGCUCUUCGUUGCAGUGGUCGGGUAGUUCGGGACGUUUACUUUGAAAAAAUUAGAGUGUUCAAGGCAGGCCUACGCCUGAAUACAUUAGCAUGGAAUAAUGGAAGAGGACCUCGGUCCUAUUUUGUUGGUUUCCAGGGCCGAAGUAAUGAUUAAGAGGGACAGUUGGGGGCAUUCGUAUUUAAUUGUCAGAGGUGAAAUUCUCGGAUUUAUGAAAGACGAACAACUGCGAAAGCAUUUGCCAAGGAUGUUUUCAUUAA
rnacentral:rRNA from 1 species